CGCCAGACUCCUACGGGAGGCAGCAGUGGGGGAUAUUGCACAAUGGGGGGAACCCUGAUGCAGCGACGCCGCGUGGGUGAAGGAGUGCUUCGGCAUGUAAAGCCCUAUCGGCAGGGAAGAAGCAGGACGGUACCUGACUAGGAAGCCCCGGCUAAUUACGUGCCAGCAGCCGCGGUAAUACGUAGGGGGCGAGCGUUAUCCGGAUUCACUGGGUGUAAAGGGAGCGUAGACGGUCCUGCAUGCCAGAUGUGAAAGCCCGGGGCUCAACCCCGGGACUGCAUUUGGAACUGUAAGGCUAGAGUGUCGGAGAGGCAGGCGGAAUUCCUAGUGUAGCGGUGAAAUGCGUAGAUAUUAGGAGGAACACCAGUGGCGAAGGCGGCCUGCUGGACGAUGACUGACGUUGAGGCUCGAAAGCGUGGGGAGCAAACAGGAUUAGAUACCCUUGUA
rnacentral:rRNA from 1 species